rnacentral:rRNA from 1 species
GGGGGCCCGCACAAGCGGCGGAGCAUGCGGAUUAAUUCGAUGCAACGCGAAGAACCUUACCAAGGCUUGACAUGGACCGGACCGGGCUGGAAACAGUCCUUCCCCUUUGGGGCCGGUUCACAGGUGGUGCAUGGUUGUCGUCAGCUCGUGCCGUGAGAUGUUGGGUUAAGUCCCGCAACGAGCGCAACCCUCGUUCCAUGUUGCCAGCGCGUAAUGGCGGGGACUCAUGGGAGACUGCCGGGGUCAACUCGGAGGAAGGUGGGGACGACGUCAAAUCAUCAUGCCCCUUAUGUCUUGGGCUUCACGCAUGCUACAAUGGCCGGUACAAAGGGUUGCGAUACUGUGAGGUGGAGCUAAUCCCAAAAAGCCGGUCUCAGUUCGGAUUGGGGUCUGCAACUCGACCCCAUGAAGUCGGAGUCGCUAGUAAUCGCAGAUCAGCAACGCUGCGGUGAAUACGUUCCCGGGCCUUGUACACACCGCCCGUCAAGUCACGAAAGUUGGUAACACCCGAAGCCGGUGGCCUAACCCCUUACGGGGAGGGAGCUGUCGAAGGUGGGACUGGCGAUUGGGACUAAGUCGUAACAAGGUAACCGUAAGGGC